UCAAAGUGAAUGCAUAUUAGAAAAUUGCAAUUCCAAAACAUGCACCAUACAAGAAUCCUAUCAACAACCUCAGACUUGUUCACCCAUUCCAAUAAACAAAUUUAUUUGAUGACCAAAUUUAUUCUAUCCCAACACAUUUAGUAGGAUUAACCACAUGAGUCACAGUUGCAAGCUUCGGGCAUGAAGGCACAGGUGCCAAAGGGCUUGCUAGGAAUGUUGCAUUUGAUGCGAUAGCAACACUGCAUUGAUAAGCAAUUCUUGUGGUCUUUGGUAGUACAGCACUCACACGUCGCGCAUUUACUGAAGGGGGGGUUUUGGGCAUUGACAUCCAUGUUGGCGAGUCUAUCAAUGGUGUGGUACUCAACCAUGCUAGUGGGUAGAUAUUGGAUGGUCGGUUGUGGCUUGGAGGCAGCAACAUCUCCU
rnacentral:lncRNA from 1 species